AUUGAACGCUGGCGGCAGGCCUAACACAUGCAAGUCGAACGAGGGGCGGACGGGUGAGUAAUGUCUGGGAAACUGCCUGAUGGAGGGGGAUAACUACUGGAAACGGUAGCUAAUACCGCAUACCUUCAGUUGGGCCAGGAUGGGAUUAGCUUGUGGGUGGGGUAACGGCUCACCAAGGCGACGAGCCCUAGCUGCUAGGAGAGGAUGACCAGCCACACGGGAUCUGAGACACGGUCCAGACUCCUACGGGAGGCAGCAGUGGGGAAUAUUGCACAAUGGGCGCAAGCCUGAUGCAGCCAUGCCGCGUGUAUGAAGAAGGCCUUCGGGUUGUAAUGUACUUUCAGCGGGGAGGCGUUACCCGCAGAAGAAGCACCGGCUAACUCCGUGCCAGCAGCCGCGGUAAUUC
rnacentral:rRNA from 1 species